UUCACAAUGAUGAGAAAACAAAUAAAGCAAUGUUUCUAGUACCCAAUUGAAUGACUAAAAUUUGCUUGAUUGUCGCUGGAUGUGUUCAGUGCACGUGAUUUAAAAUUUCUGAAUUGAUGUAGCUAUUGCUGUAUGAAAAUUUUCGAUAGAUCAGCGGGGAGUUAACAGUAUACAUCAUGAAGGAUUUUUUGCUUUCUGGUUCAAUGCUGAAGUUGAUGGAUCCAUUGGUGAAUCAGACUACCCAAAAAUGGUUCUAAGAAACGGUAAGAACUUUCACCUUUUCUGGACAUUUUUAUUUAUCGAGAGGGAGGGCACGCAACAGCGUGGUGGCGGAGGAAAACCUUAAGCUGCUGUUCGUUUUGUUUCCUUAUUAGCAAUAUAUUGUCUUGUUUGAAGACACUGUAAACGACCAUCAUUUACAAUAGUUACAUCUGCAGACAGAAGUUUCUCGUAA